AGCGGGGGCUUCGGCUAUCGUGAUAGAACCCUUGCCUUUUGAGUACCGUCCGUUUCCUCGGCAGGCCCGCCUGCCAAUGGGGACCCCAAUAAACCCUUUUUAUGUACCUGUAUCAGUCUGAAAAACAAACAAAAGUUAAAACUUUCAACAACGGAUCUCUUGGUUCUGGCAUCGAUGAAGAACGCAGCGAAAUGCGAUAAGUAGUGUGAAUUGCAGAAUUCAGUGAAUCAUCGAAUCUUUGAACGCACAUUGCGCCCUUUGGUAUUCCUUAGGGCAUGCCUGUUCGAGCGUCAUUUGAAACCUCAAGCUCAGCUUGGUGUUGGGUGUCUGUCCCCGCCUCCCGCGGGGACUCGCCUCAAAAUCAUUGGCGGCCGGUACGUUGGCUUCGAGCGCAGCAGAAACGCGAACUCGAGGCCCGGCGGAUCGGCGACCAGAAGUCACUUCUUCACAGCGGCGAGUGAAGCGGCAAGAGCUCAAAUUUGAAAUCUGGCCCCCUCGGGGUCCGAGUUGUAAUUUGUAGAGGGUGCUUUGGCGUUGGCUGUGGUCUAAGUUCCUUGGAACAGGACGUCGCAGAGGGUGAGAAUCCCGUAUGUGGCCGCCAGUCUUCGCCGUGUAAAGCCCCUUCGACGAGUCGAGUUGUUUGGGAAUGCAGCUCUAAAUGGGAGGUAAAUUUCUUCUAAAGCUAAAUAUUGGCCAGAGACCGAUAGCGCACAAGUAGAGUGAUCGAAAGAUGAAAAGCACUUUGGAAAGAGAGUCAAAAAGCACGUGAAAUUGUUGAAAGGGAAGCGCUUGCAGCCAGACUUGCCCGCAGUUGCUCAUCCAGGCUCGCGCCUGGUGCACUCUUCUGCGGGCAGGCCAGCAUCAGUCCGGGCGGUUGGAUAAAGGCCUGCUAAAUGUACCUCUCCUCGGGGAGGACUUAUAGGGCAGGCGACAUGCAACCAGCCCGGAUUGAGGUCCGCGCAUCUGCUAGGAUGCUGGCGUAAUGGCUGUAAGCGGCCCGUCUUGAAACACGGACCAAGGAGUCUAACAUCUAUGCGAGUGUUUGGGUGUCAAGCCCGAGCGCGCAAUGAAAGUGAACGGAGGUGGGAACCCCUCGGGGUGCACCAUCGACCGAUCCUGAUGUCUUCGGAUGGAUUUGAGUAUGAGCAUA
rnacentral:sRNA from 1 species